rnacentral:rRNA from 1 species
GCAAGUCGAGCGCGCCUUCGGGUGAGCGGCGGACGGGUUAGUAGCGCGUGGGAACGUGCCCUUCUCUACGGAAUAGCCUCUGGAAACGGAGAGUAAUACCGUAUACGCCCUUUGGGGGAAAGAUUUAUCGGAGAAGGAUCGGCCCGCGUUAGAUUAGGUAGUUGGUGGGGUAAUGGCCUACCAAGCCUACGAUCUAUAGCUGGUUUUAGAGGAUGAUCAGCAACACUGGGACUGAGACACGGCCCAGACUCCUACGGGAGGCAGCAGUGGGGAAUCUUAGACAAUGGGGGCAACCCUGAUCUAGCCAUGCCGCGUGAGUGAUGAAGGCCUUAGGGUCGUAAAGCUCUUUCGCCUGUGAUGAUAAUGACAGUAGCAGGUAAAGAAACCCCGGCUAACUCCGUGCCAGCAGCCGCGGUAAUACGGAGGGGGUUAGCGUUGUUCGGAAUUACUGGGCGUAAAGCGCGCGUAGGCGGAUUAGAAAGUUGGGGGUGAAAUCCCGGGGCUCAACCUCGGAACUGCCUCCAAAACUGCUAGUCUAGAGUUCGAGAGAGGUGAGUGGAAUUCCGAGUGUAGAGGUGAAAUUCGUAGAUAUUCGGAGGAACACCAGUGGCGAAGGCGGCUCACUGGCUCGAUACUGACGCUGAGGUGCGAAAGUGUGGGGAGCAAACAGGAUUAGAUACCCUGGUAGUCCACACCGUAAACGAUGAAUGCCAGUCGUCGGGUAGUAUACUAUUCGGUGACACACCUAACGGAUUAAGCAUUCCGCCUGGGGAGUACGGUCGCAAGAUUAAAACUCAAAGGAAUUGACGGGGCCCGCACAGCGGUGGAGCAUGUGGUAUCGAGCACGCGCAGACCUACCACUGACAUCUGUGCUACAUCGAGAAUGAUGUCUCGGACGCAUGACAGUGCUGCAUGCUGUCG